rnacentral:lncRNA from 1 species
GUGGGCUGCGCGGAUUGAUGCCGCGGAGGGUUCUGGGAAACAACCUAUAGUCUGGAGGCAGUUUUUAGGUGGCACCGGUUGGGUUCAGUUUUGAUGACGAAUCUGUCAUCAAAGCGCAAGGGGGUUAAGGUUUGUGACAGUGGUACAGGGGACACCUGCUGCUGCAGCGGUGCACUCCGGUGAGCAGAGAUUAGUAGCCCAAACUCUCCAGCCUCGAACCCUGUGCCUCAGGGUGUUACCGGACGGACGGCUUUGAAUAAAGCAGGUGGCCUUUCCUAGUGGGCGGGGCCUCUCCCAGGCCGCUGUAGGCCUGAGCAGAGAAAAUGCCCCGCAUGCAGCGUCUCCCUGGUCUCCAGCUCGGAGUCACCUGCAAAUCUCAGACUCUCCAGACCCCAAGCCGUGGAGAUGGUUCCUUCGACCGACAGAUAAAAACUUCACCUACGUGUUGGAAAUCUCUUAUCUUCCAGGAAAAAGUCACUCAACUGCCGAGUGGAGAACAGGCCUGAAAUUAACAUCUGCAGAAGACCAGGAGCCUUGAGGGAGGGGAGAGGCCAUGCUCACCGCCAGAUGCUGGCCAUUUCCGUGGGUGGCCCUGCCCAGACCUGGCGCCCAAUGGAGCCCCUUACCCCAACUGCAGGCUGCCCACCCUCCCCUUCUGAGCACCCUGCCUUCGGGCUCACCGCAGAUUUCCUGGUGAAAGCACCACUACCCAGAUUCUAGCUCCAGAAUCCAGUGUCACUGAUGAUGGGCAGAAAGAAUCGACCCUCUUCUCCCAUGAAAACAGUUCAAAUUUUAAAAUCUUUGCUCUGAUUUUCCCUCCUAGGUUUCUAUUAGGUUCUACUUCAUUUUCUUCAGUGCUUUGGCAUUAAGGCCUUUUAUUUUAGUUCAUGCAUUCUUUUUUACAUUUUCAAGUUUUCCAUUUGGUGUCUUUUAGUUUGGAAAACUGUCAUAAAGUAUUCACUUACAAAUAGUCUUUCUCUUAUUGGCAACAUUAUAUACACACAAUUCUUUAAAAAAAAUUUUUUUGCUCCCAAGAUAACAAAUGUGCAUUGAAAAAUUAGGGUACCAUAGAAAUGCCUAAAAAAUGAAAGUCAUAAUUGCAUGCACAUGGAUAACACUACCAAUACUCUGCUAUAUGCACACUUCAUCUCUUUCCACAGUGUAUGCACACACAGUUGUACUGCACAUACUUGUUUCUGAGAUAGGGUCUCCCUAGGUUCUCCAGGCUGGGCUCGAACUUGACUCUCCUGCUUCAGUUUCUUGAGAGGCGAGGAUUACAGGUGCCCCUCACCAAGCCUGGCUUAUAGCUCAUAUUUUCU